rnacentral:rRNA from 1 species
GUUGAACGCUGGCGGCGGGCCUAAUACAUGCAAGUCGAGCGAGCGGCGGACGGGUGAGUAACACGUGGGAACCGACCUAUAAGACUGGGAUAACAUCGGGAAACCGGACUCAUUACCGGUCACUUACAGAUGGAUACUCGCUGCAUUAGCUAGUUGGUAAGGUAACGGCUUACCAAGGCAACGAUGCAUAGCCGGGCUGAGCGGAUGAUCAGCCACACUGGAACUGAGACACGGUCCAGACUCCUACGGGAGGCAGCAGUGGGGAAUAUUGCACAAUGGGCGCAAGCCUGAUGCAGCCAUGCCGCGUGUAUGAAGAAGGCCUUCGGGUUGUAAAGCACUUUCAGCGAGGAGGCGUUACUCGCAGAAGAAGCACCGGCUAACUCCGUGCCAGCAGCCGCGGUAAUUC